rnacentral:lncRNA from 1 species
CAAAAAACAAAAUCGGGGUAACAAACUAAAACUGAGGGAAACGCAUUAAAUAUAAGAGGAGAACAAUGACACAACAUUAAAAUGAAACACACAGAAACGGACUAAGCAUUAGACAAAAUCCUAUGACAAUAACAAAUAUAACAUCAAAACCAAAUACAAGAAUUUGGGAUAGAUAAUUACCGUGACACGUCAUAUAGUAAUGUGAAUUCAGACUCAAAAAUAAGAGAAAACAAACGACACAACGGAAACA